rnacentral:rRNA from 1 species
CCUAAACCUAGAUAGUUAACCCAAACAAAACUAUCCGCCAGAGAACUACUAGCAACAGCUUAAAACUCAAAGGACUUGGCGGUGCUUUAUAUCCCUCUAGAGGAGCCUGUUCCAUAAUCGAUAAACCCCGAUAAACCUCACCAUCUCUUGCUAAUUCAGCCUAUAUACCGCCAUCUUCAGCAAACCCUGAAAAGGAAGAAAAGUAAGCACAAGUAUCUUAA